rnacentral:misc_RNA from 1 species
UCCGGCUUAUCACCGGCAGUCCCACUAGAGUUCCAAACUUAAUUAGGGCAACUAGUAGUAAGGGUUGCGCUCGUUGCGUCACUUAAGACAACAUCUCACGACACGAGCUGACGACAGCCAUGCAGCACCUGUGCCCAGGUUCCCGAAGGCACUUCCUAAUCUCUUAGGCUUUCCUGGCAUGUCAAGAGCAGGUAAGGUUUUUCGCGUUGCAUCGAAUUAAUCCACAUCAUCCACCGCUUGUGCGGGUCCCCGUCAAUUCCUUUGAGUUUUAAUCUUGCGACCGUACUCCCCAGGCGGUCUACUUCUCGCGUUAGCUUCGCUACCAAAAUUUUACUUCCAACAGCAAGUAGACAUCGUUUAGGGCGUGGACUAC